UAAUAAAAACAGGGGAGCUUGAAUAUAGCAGGCUGAGAGGAAGUGCUCAAACUUCGACCCUUUAACCUGAUGCGGAUAAUGCCGCCGUAGGAAGUCAUGAUAAGAAGAUU
rnacentral:ncRNA from 2 species